CGGCCCUAGCUGAUGGGCCAAAGCAGCAAAAACUCCAAGCUCUGGCUUAUUUGCCCUCGAGAAAGGCACUGAAGCGUGGGAUCUGGCUGCCCAGGGUCGCCCAGGUAUCUGCUCUCUCCUUGAGUGGUUGCCACAGACACGCCUGUUCUUCCAAUCCCUGGUGCUUUUUGGGAGAAGGAAGGUUGUCGGCAAUGGGCCUAGCACAGUAAUUACUAGUGGCGCCUUAGGAACAAUUAUGAGAAAACAUCGUUAUCAUCCUCACCACUAACACUGAUGGAGGCCUUAGUAGCUGGCAAAGCGGGUUCGCCGGGCUCUCCCCGUGCCCAGGGCUCUACCGGUGCUCCAUCACUGAAUAAGCUUCCAGGACAGCGUGGCUCAAAGCGCAGCGGACGACACCUCGCACCAGGAUCUCCGGUGAUGCUCAAAUCAAGAGGCCCCGUUCUCAGAUUAAAAAUCAAAAAGCUCCCAACUUCCGGAAGUCCCCGUCCGCCCUCUCACCUUACCGUCUCUCUCCGUGUCCUGGCAGUGGUUCUGCAGGACCCAGUGACACUGCUUCGAGAGGCUCGGGGUCUCCGGCCCCACCACCGACAAGCUCUGGUCUCUGGACAGCUAACCCCCCGCCUUGGAGCGUUCUCCCACCCUGCCUCACUUAGUCGUUGGAGGACUAAGUGAUGGCACUGAUGGCUUUCCACCCCCUAUUCCGGGCUGACACCCAACAUUUGAAUGUGGCUGCAGGAAACAAAGUUACCACGGGGCUGGCUGACCUCAUGUGAAAUUCACGCCCACAAAUCCCAGGUGCGCGCGGAGAAUUUCCAGGCCAACCCAACCUCUCUGGUAAGCUUACUUCCCCGGUUUCUCAACGACUCUUUCACGUCUUCUGUUUCCUCAAACCCCCUUGCUUCCCUUCUCUGCCCUCUCCCAGCCAAUGCCCUAGGUCGAUACUUCAGGAACAAAGGGGAAGCAGUGAGACAAGAACUCCACCGAGACGUCCACGGCCUGACCUGCAGGCAGAUGCCCCUCUCUGCUUAAAAUUUCUGUUCUCAUCAGGAAAAUGUCAUUAUUCCUUAAAAUUAACUGUCCUCUGGAUCUUCCCCUUCCUGAGAGCUUAGAGCCGCUCUUUCCCGUGUCAUCAUUAUUUCCCUGCCACUGGAUCAUUAAAAAAAAAAAAAAAAAAAGAGCAUCUCCCAUGUUAAAUUAAAAAAAAAAAAAAAAUCCUCCUGCUUAAUCCCAGGACCCCCUGCAAACAUCACAGCAUCUCUCCGUUUCCCUUCCCAUCAGUGAUGCGUCUAACUCUAUAUCCUCCUGCUGUUUCUACUUCCUCAAAGCCUGUUUCCUUCAUCACUGACUCCAGCUGGACGCCCACCCCCACAAGUGUAACUAAGUCCCCAGCGUCACAGGGGCCCCUCGUGCUAACCAGGGCAGGGAGCACAUUUCUGACCUCAUCUUCCUGCGGUUCCCCAGCACCUUGCAGCGUAUCCAAUCGUGCGGCCCUUUACACCCUCUCUUGACGUCCAGCCCGCCCUGAUCCUCCGUCUGUCCUACCUGACAGCUGCUGCUCCGUGCUUUAACGUCACCCCGCCCCCUGGGCUCCCAAUCUGACUGCCUGCACCACCCACAGUCUGGCAGCAGAAAACCUUCUGGGUUCUACCAUACGGUCCUAGUUCAUUUCAUCUAGUUCCUUGGCUUUAGAUAUCAUUCAUGUGCCAAUGGCUCCCAGACUUUUCCCUGGUCCCUGCUGCAGACACUUACCUCACAUCCCUCCUUGUGCACAGAAGACUCCACGUCACACCACACCUUGGAGUGACGAGGAGGCUCGAUGUCCUGCUCUCCAUGGCGCUCACGUGCCCGUGUUCACUCGGUAAAACUUCAUCCUUGAUGACGGUCGUGUUUCUCUGGCUGAAAUAAAAAGCAUUUUCCUUUUAAAUUAACAUUCUGGAACCACGCUCUCAGUUGCUCUUUUCCAUAAACUUGCUCCCUAGACGCCCCCCGAGGAAGGCCCAAAUCCCAACGUUAUCCUUGGUGAUUCUCUUCCCACACCCAGCUCACCGGCACACCCUGCCUUCUCUGCUGCCAAAACAAAGCCCCUCUCGGCCCUCUCCCCACCACCUGGUCAAGCCAUCAGCGCCUCUCCCUGAGUUCCUGGAAGUUCCCCCACGGGUUCUGUGGAUCCCGUACCGCCUCCUUUCUUCCAUCCUGCCCCAGAAGGAGCAUCCAGAGUGAGCUGACAAGAGCUGCAGUCAGACCCUGCUGCUUCCCUACUCUCCCCUUACAGAAACGAAAACCGGCCAACGGCCUCCCGUGGCAUUUAGGCCUGUUUCCUGCCGCCAUCAAGAAUACCAGUUCCCCCUAAACACAGAUGUCUGUUGGCGGGUGCAUCCCCACCCAACCCAAUUUAAAACACUUCCUGGCCAUAUGGUAGGUGCUCAAUACAUAUAUGUUGAAAGAAACAAAUGUGCACAGCACGCAAUGCAU